CUCCUCGCUCACUUCCGGCAGCAGCCUGGAAACAGUGUGGCUUUGUGUGCUCACAGCCUACUUGCUGCACAUGUUCAGAGAGGGUGAGGCAUGUGAGGCCGAGGAUCAGUGCAGGCUCCCAGCGCCAGUUCUCACCGCCAUCCUGAAGGCUGGGCCACAGCAAGGCAGAGAUGCUGACUCUGCAGCAGCUAGCUCUUCAGGGAAGGAAAAACCUUAGAAAAGCAUCCAAAGACGAGGUCCUCAUCCCGGAACUGUGCUGUUUCAGAUCCUGCCUGCGUCUGAGCCUGCAAUCAGCAAGCCUGGUGGCUAGGUCUCUGCUCCCUCCUUACUUGCAGCCUCCCUGGGUCUCCCUGGGAGAUCAGGCACCUCCCUUAGCCAGCCCCCUCCCAGCUUCCUACUGCCACUCGGAACAGAACUUCCGCAGCUAUCAUGUGACCUUGAAGAUGGAAGUCACAUGCCAGAGAAGACAGAAGACAGAGACCCUGAUAACUUCAAAGAGCCAGCCAAAUAAUGCCUGUUUACUCCUGAUCCUGGUAAAAGUGAAGAGAGUAAAUCCUUGCAAAUAAACAACUAGAUUUUCUCCCUA
rnacentral:lncRNA from 1 species